GCCUCAGUGGCUCAGUUGGUCGAGUGUCUGACUUUGGCUCAGGUCAUUAUCUUGCAGUUCAUGGGUUCGAGCCCCACAUCGGGCU
rnacentral:tRNA from 1 species